GGUUCUGGCAGGUGCAGUCUUAAUAAUUUAGCUUGUACCUCCAAAAAUACCACAGCCCAAAAGAGAUGUAGAUCUUACAGAGGUAACUGUAACUUUCAGACGGGCCGCUGUGGAUUAAAGCCUGACAAGAAUGCCACUUUCCAAUGGACCGUAGGUUCUGGCCAGACGCUAACGGAAAGAACUGGGCCGAGUUACGAUCACACUUCGUUCAGCAAGGAUGGUAAGGCAGCCUUUGCGCAGAAAUCACUUCAGUGAGGAAA